CGCUACCAUGCAGUCGAGCGGGGGACUUCGGUCCUCAGCGGCGGACGGGUGAGUAACACGUAGGAAUCUGCCUUUUGGUGGGGGAUAGCCGGGGGAAACCCCGAUUAAUACCGCAUAUGGCCCAUGGGUCAAAGCCGUAAGGCGCCAGAAGAUGAGCCUGCGUCCGAUUAUUUAGUCCUUGUUGGUGGGGUAACGGCCUACCAAGGGUACGAUCGGUAGCUGGUCUGAGAGGACGAUCAGCCACACUGGAACUGAGACACGGUCCAGACUCCUACGGGAGGCAGCAGUGGGGAAUAUUGCGCAAUGGGCGAAAGCCUGACGCAGCCAGCCCGCGUGUGUGAUGAAGGCCUUCGGGUCGUAAAGCACUGUCGUAGGGGAAGAAUCAAUGACGGUACCCUACAAGAAAGCACCGGCUAACCCCGUGCCAGCAGCCGCGGUAAUACGGGGGGUGCAAGCGUUGCUCGGAAUCACUGGGCGUAAAGCGUCCGCAUGUGGGUGUGUGUGUCGGAUGUGAAAGCCCAGGGCUCAACCCUGGAACUGCAUUCGAAACUGCACAUCUUGAGUACGGGAGAGGGAAGCAGAAUUCCUGGUGUAGAGUGAAAUUCGUAGAUAUCAGGAGGAAUACCUGUGGCGAAAGCGGCUUCCUGGUCCGAUACUGACACUCAUGGACGAAAGCGCGGGGAGCAAAACAG
rnacentral:rRNA from 1 species